UAAGUAGGGUGCAAGCGUUGUCCGGAUUUAUUGGGUGUAAAGGGCGUGUAGGCGGCUUAUUAAGUUAGUGGUGAAAACGUUAGGCUUAACCGCGUACCCGCCAUUGAUACUGGUAGACUUGAGUGCGACAGAGGGUGUUGGAAUGUGGGGUGUAGCGGUGAAAUGCUUAGAUAUCACGCAGAACACCAAUUGCGAAGGCAGAUGCCUAUGUCGUAACUGACGCUGAGGCGCGAAAGCGUGGGGAGCAAACAGG
rnacentral:rRNA from 1 species